GGAUGGUUCAAUGGUAGAAUUCCUGCCUGCCAUACAGGAGACCUGGGUUUGAUUCCCAGCCA
rnacentral:tRNA from 1 species